rnacentral:ribozyme from 13 species
GUCCGCUCAAAAAAAAAAAAAAAAAAAAAAAAAAAAAAAAAAAAA